CCCAGGUAGACCUAUAGUGGCGGGAAUAGAUUCCAUAACAAGCAAACUAUCCCACUACGUGGACAUUCACCUUCAACCUUUAGUUAAAAACACUACCUCCUACAUUAAAGACACAAUCAUGGUUUUAAACCUUUUAAAAAAUUGCGCUUGGAACCCAAACUGUUUUUUAGUCACUAGUGACGUGUCAGCCCUAUAUAGUAAUAUUCCACAUGAUUAUGGAUGCAAUGCAGCUAAAUUCUUUUUAAAUAAUUUUUCUAAAAUGCCUUACAUGAAGGUUGAGUACCUCUUAGAAGCGAUAGAAUUAAUCCUCAGAAACAAUUAUUUCUGGUACAAUGAAGAGUUCUACCUCCAAAUUAAUGGGACAGCCAUGGGGACCAAGUUCGCCCCCAACUACGCCAAUUUAUUUAUGGCCUAUUGGGAAGAUACUUAUAUUUAUGGCCCUCAUAGCUGGGGGAGGAACUUGGUUACCUAUGGCCGCUAUAUCGAUGAUAUUUUCUUCAUUUGGGAGGGAGAGGAGGAAGAUCUUAUCCUAUUCCUAAAUCACCUCAACACCAAUACAUGGGGGAUUAAACUUACCAGCAAUUGGAGUAAAGUGGAAGUAGUUUUUCUAGACCUAUUAAUAUAUAUAGAAGAAAAUAGGAUUAAAACGAAAAAUUAUUUUAAACCGGUUGAGGCCAACAGUUAUAUCGAAAGAGAAAGUUGCCACUUCUCUCCUUGGUUGGAGAAUGCCCCUAGAGGGCAAUUCCUCAGAAUACAUCGUAAUUGUACUGAUCUUGAGAUGUUCGAUACGCAAUCAGAUAAAAUUAAACAAGAUUUUAUAGAGAAAGGAUAUGAUGAACAGGAAUUGGAAAAAGCUAGAAAAGAAGUUAAAGAAAUAGAGAGAAACAGUCUUUUAAAAUAUAAAGAAAAGAAAGAGAAAGGUUUUAAAGAAGUCCCUUUUAUAUGUAACUAUAGCACGGAAAAUCAUAAGGUGAGGAAAAUAGUUUCGAAAUUUUGGCCUAUUCUUCUUCAGGAUCCAGUAGCGAGAACUUUCCUUCCAGACAAACCCAAUUUUGUACAUAGGGGGGUAAGCAACCUCCGUACUGCUCUCACGUCUAGUUAUAUUAAAGAAAAAAAGAAUGGCAACCCAUUUAACACAGAGAAAGGUUUUUACGGCUGUGGCCAAUGUUUGGCAUGUAGGAGAACUACCAACAAAAAAAGACAUAUAACUACAUAUACAAAUAAAGAGGGAACAGAAUACCAAAUUAAAGAUUUCAUUACAUGCUACUCAAAGAAUCUUAUUUAUCUAAUAAUAUGCCCUUGUGGUCUAAAAUAUAUAGGGAAAACCACAAGACAACUACAUACGAGAAUAGAAGAGCAUGGACGAAAUAUUACAAAGGGUUUCGAAAAACAUAGCGUAUCUUUACAUUACAAAAACUACCAUAACUGUGAAACUAAAGAUACCACCUUUUUAGGGAUCAAAAAAGUGGAAAAAGAUUGGAGAGGAGGCAAUUUCGAUGUAAAAAUGAGUAAAUGUGAAAUGGAGUGUAUUUUCAAACUAGACACUUUGAUCCCUAAUGGACUAAAUGCAGACUUCGAAAUGUGCCAUUUCCUGCAAUAGAUAUUUUGGGUACUUAGUGUUUUUUAUAUUGUCUAACUUUCAAACCCCUAAAAAAUAUUUUUUUAACUAGAGGAUCU
rnacentral:lncRNA from 1 species